CGGUUGAUCCUGCCGGACCUGACUGCUAUCGGAUUGAUACUAAGCCAUGUGAGUCAUUGUAGCAAUACAAGGCAGACGGCUCAGUAACACGUAGCCAACCUACCCUAUGGACGGGGAUAACCUCGGGAAACUGAGGAUAAACCCCGAUAGAUCAUUAUACCUGGAACGGUUUAUGGUCCAAAUGAUUCGUCGCCGUAGGAUGGGACUGCGGCCUAUCAGCUUGUUGGUGAGGUAAUGGCCCACCAAGGCUAUUACAGGUACGGGCUCUGAGAGGAGAAGCCCGGAGAUGGGUACUGAGACACGGACCCAGGCCCUAUGGGGCGCAGCAGGCGAGAAAACUUUGCAAUGUGCGCAAGCACGACAAGGUUAAUCCGAGUGAUUCCUGCUAAAGGAAUCUUUUGCUAGUCCUAAAAACACUAGCGAAUAAGGGGUGGGCAAGUUCUGGUGUCAGCCGCCGCGGUAAAACCAGCACCUCAAGUGGUCAGGAGGAUUAUUGGGCCUAAAGCAUCCGUAGCCUGCUCUGUAAGUUUCCGGUUAAAUCCAUUAGCUUAACUGAUGGGCCGCCGGAAAAACUGCAAAGCUAGGGAGUGGGAGAGGUAGACGGUACUCGGUAGGAA
rnacentral:rRNA from 1 species